GCGAGUGAAGCGGCAACAGCUCAAAUUUGAAAGCUGGCUUAGGCCCGCAUUGUAAUUUGCAGAGGAUGCUUCUGGCGAGGUGCCUUCCGAGUUCCCUGGAACGGGACGCCAUAGAGGGUGAGAGCCCCGUAUGGAUGGACACCAAACCUGUGUGAAGCUCCUUCAACGAGUCGAGUAGUUUGGGAAUGCUGCUCUAAAUGGGAGGUAAAUCUCUUCUAAAGCUAAAUACCGGCCAGAGACCGAUAGCGCACAAGUAGAGUGAUCGAAAGAUGAAAAGCACCUUGAAAAGGGGGUUAAACAGUACGUGAAAUUGUUGAAAGGGAAGCGCUUGUGACCAGACUUGCGCCGGGCAGCUCAUCAGGGGUUCUCCCCUGUGCACUCUGCCCGGCUCAGGCCAGCAUCGGUUUUCGUGGGAGGAUAAGAACGGCAGGAACGUGGCCCCCCUUCGGGGGGGUGUUAUAGCCUGCCGUACGAUACUCCCGUGGGGACCGAGGUUCGCGCUCCGCAAGGAUGCUGGC
rnacentral:rRNA from 1 species